AGUGUGCUCCCAUCAGAAAUGUGGAAUUAGGGGCGCCUGGGGUGGUUCAGUCGGUCAUGAGUUCAAGCCCGGCAUCAGGUGAGCUCGCGCCCCGCUUCAGGUGAGCGUGAGUCCUGCAUCAGGAGAAAGAGACAAGAUGAUAAAGAAAUAUAAGAGAGGAUGAACAGAAAAGCACUCCUUAUAAGGAUCAAAAAUGGACUGAGCUACAACUGAGGGAAUGAAUAACAGCUUGAAAACGAUCUAGGAUCCAACUACAAUGCACCUUUAAAAACACUCCGCGGACAUUCAGAUGGCGCCUUAUUAACAAUUAAAAGUAAGAAUAAGAGUGGUGACUUUCUUGCAAUGAAAGUAUGUAUUAUGAAGCAAAUACUGUAACAAAGUCCUUUUUACUA